GUUUGUGGCUCAGUGGUAGAGUGCUCACCUAGUGUGUGGGAGGCCCUGGGUUCGAUCCUCAGCGCUACA
rnacentral:tRNA from 1 species